GCUCAUUCGAUACAUUUUGCACUGGAUUGACGAGCGCUAUUGUCGUGCAUCAUCCCGAUGCGACAAACAUUUCCAAUGCUGUAGGCGCAACGGCAUGGAUCUUUGGCGCUUGGGGAUACCCAACCUACCCCGACUCGGAUUUGUUCUACAUACUUAGGUCGUUUCAGCGCUGCCCAAGAAGUGGUUGUUCGGCACAAUGCUGGUAGAAGUGUGGAGAAAACAGCGCACAAUAAAGAGACCCGGUGGCGUUUGAAAACGUUC
rnacentral:lncRNA from 1 species